rnacentral:rRNA from 1 species
GAUGAACGCUGGCGGCGUGCCUAAUACAUGCAAGUCGAGCGAACGGACGAGAAGCUUGCUUUUCUGAUGUUAGCGGCGGACGGGUGAGUAACACGUGGAUAACCUACCUAUAAGACUGGGAUAACUUCGGGAAACCGGAGCUAAUACCGGAUAAUAUUUUGAACCGCAUGGUUCAUAAGUGAAAGACGGUCUUGCUGUCACUUAUAGAUGGAUCCGCGCUGCAUUAGCUAGUUGGUAAGGUAACGGCUUACCAAGGCAACGAUGCAUAGCCGACCUGAGAGGGUGAUCGGCCACACUGGAACUGAGACACGGUCCAGACUCCUACGGGAGGCAGCAGUAGGGAAUCUUCCGCAAUGGGCGAAAGCCUGACGGAGCAACGCCGCGUGAGUGAUGAAGGUCUUCGGAUCGUAAAACUCUGUUAUUAGGGAAGAACAUAUGUGUAAGUAACUGUGCACAUCUUGACGGUACCUAAUCAGAAAGCCACGGCUAAAUACGUG